rnacentral:rRNA from 1 species
ACUGAGACACGGCCCAAACUCCUACGGGAGGCAGCAGUAGGGAAUCUUCCACAAUGGGCGAAAGCCUGAUGGAGCAACGCCGCGUGGGUGAAGAAGGUCUUCGGAUCGUAAAACCCUGUUGUUAGAGAAGAAAGUGCGUGAGAGUAACUGUUCACGUUUCGACGGUAUCUAACCAGAAAAGCCACGGGCUAACUACGUGCCAGCAGCCGCGGGUAAUACGUAGGGUGGGCAAGCCGGUUUAUCCGGGAUUUUAUGUGGGGCGUUAAAGGGUAAAGCAGGGGGGUCUUUUUUAAGUUUGUGAGGGGAAAAGCCUUUCGUCUUUAACGGGGAUU